UACGUAGGGGGCUAGCGUUGUCCGGAAUCAUUGGGCGUAAAGCGCGUGUAGGCGGUCCGGUAAGUCCGCUGUGAAAGUCGGGGGUCAACCUCGGAUGCCGGUGGAUACUGUCGGGCUUGAGUACGGAAGAGGCGAGUGGAAUUCCGUGGUGUAGCGGUGAAAUGCGCAGAUAUCAGGAGGAACACCAAUUGCGAAGGCAGC
rnacentral:rRNA from 1 species